GAGACUCUGUGCGCGUGCAUAUCAAUAAGCGGAGGAAAAGAAACUAACAAGGAUUCCCUUAGUAACGGCGAGUGAAGCGGGAAGAGCUCAAAUUUGAAAUCUUCAAGGUUCUACCUUGACGAAUUGUAGUUUAUAGAAGUGUUUUCUGUUAGUGGAGUGGCAAAAGUUCUUUGGAAUAGGACAUCAUAGAGGGUGAGAAUCCCGUAUUUGGUCAUUCCUCCUAGCGUUGUGAUACGCUUUCAACGAGUCGGAUUGUUUGGGAAUGCAGUCCAAAAUGGGUGGUAAAUUUCAUCUAAAGCUAAAUAUUGGCGAGAGACCGAUAGCGAACAAGUACCGUGAGGGAAAGAUGAAAAGAACUUUGAAAAGAGAGUUAAACAGUACGUGAAAUUGUCAAAAGGGAAGCGUUUGACACCAGUGUUGUUUUUCCGAAAAUCAAUUACGAAUGUUUUGUUUUUGAGAAGUUAUGACUUCAUCGGCUUGCUUCUUUCUUUACGAAACUUUCUUAAUGCACUUUUCGGUUAACAAGUCAACAUCAAUUUCUUUUGUUGUAAAAGGGUAUGAGGAAGGUGGCUUUCUUUUCGGAGAAAGUGUUUAUAGCCUUGUACCUCUGCAAUCGGAGAGAUUGAGGUCUGCAGCGUAGAUCCUUCGGGGUUAGAUACAUUUGUGCUAAGUUAUAGCUUUUCAUAGACAACUUGUUGACUAUGUUAGUCUUGUAGCUUACUCGCUUAUGCUAUUUUACCUACGCUUAGGAUGUUGAAGUCAUCGUAUCGCGC
rnacentral:rRNA from 1 species